rnacentral:rRNA from 1 species
GUUGUAUAGUCAAGUAAUUAAGUGCAUGUGGUGGAUGCCUUGGCAGUCAGAGGCGAUGAAAGACGUGAUAGCCUGCGAAAAGCUCCGGGGAGGCGGCAAAUAUCCUUUGAUCCGGAGAUGUCUGAAUGGGGGAACCCACCUACUUUAAGGUAGGUAUUGCAACAUGAAUACAUAGUGUUGCAAGGCGAACGAGGGGAAGUGAAACAUCUCAGUACCCUUAGGAAAAGAAAUCAAUUGAGAUUCCCUCAGUAGCGGCGAGCGAACGGGGAUCAGCCCAUUAAGUUAUGUGUGUUUUAGUGGAACGCUCUGGGAAGUGCGAACGUAGAGGGUGAUAUUCCCGUACACGAAAGGGCACACAUAAUGAUGACGAGUAGGGCGAGGCACGUGAAACCUUGUCUGAAUAUGGGGGGACCAUCCUCCAAGGCUAAAUACUCCUGACUGACCGAUAGUGAACCAGUACCGUGAGGGAAAGGCGAAAAGAACCCCUGUGAGGGGAGUGAAAUAGAUCCUGAAACCGCAUGCAUACAAGCAGUGGGAGCACCUUCGUGGUGUGACUGCGUACCUUUUGUAUAAUGGGUCAGCGACUUAUAUUCAGUAGCGAGGUUAACCGUAUAGGGGAGCCGUAGAGAAAUCGAGUCUUAAUAGGGCGUUUAGUUGCUGGGUAUAGACCCGAAACCAGGCGAUCUAUCCAUGAGCAGGUUGAAGGUUGGGUAACACUAACUGGAGGACCGAACCCACUGUCGUUGAAAAGCCAGGGGAUGACUUGUGGAUAGGGGUGAAAGGCUAAUCAAGCCUGGUGAUAGCUGGUUCUCCCCGAAAGCUAUUUAGGUAGCGCCUCGGACGAAUACCAUAGGGGGUAGAGCACUGUUUCGGCUAGGGGGUCAUCCCGACUUACCAAACCGAUGCAAACUCCGAAUACCUAUGAGUACUAUCCGGGAGACAGACUGCGGGUGCUAACGUCCGUAGUCAAGAGGAAAACAAUCCAGACCGCCAGCUAAGGCCCCAAAAUCAUAGUUAAGUGGGAAACGAUGUGGGAAGGCAUAGACAGCUAGGAGGUUGGCUUAGAAGCAGCCACCCUUUAAAGAAAGCGUAAUAGCUCACUAGUCGAGUCGGCCUGCGCGGAAGAUGUAACGGGGCUAAAACUAUGUGCCGAAGCUGCGGAUNNNNNNNNNNNAUGCUGGAGGUAUCAGAAGUGCGAAUGCUGACGUGAGUAACGACAAAACGGGUGAAAAACCCGUUCGCCGAAAGACCAAGGGUUCCAGUCCAACGUUAAUCGGGGCUGGGUGAGUCGACCCCUAAGGCGAGGCCGAAAGGCGUAGUCGAUGGGAAAAUGGUUAAUAUUCCAUUACUUCUGUGUAAUGCGAUGAGAGGACGGAGAAGGCUAAAUCAGCCUGGCGUUGGUUGUCCAGGUGAAAGGAUGUAGGCAUGUAUCUUAGGCAAAUCCGGGGUACUCUAUGCUGAGAUCUGAUAGCAAGCUGUACUUGUACAGCGAAGUGGUUGAUGCCAUGCUUCCAGGAAAAGUCUCUAAGCUUCAGUUACACAGGAAUCGUACCCGAAACCGACACAGGUGGUCAGGUCGAGUAGACCAAGGCGCUUGAGAGAACUCUGCUGAAGGAACUAGGCAAAAUGGUACCGUAACUUCGGGAGAAGGUACGCUGUUGUUGGUGAUGGAACUCGCUUCCUGAGCUGACGACAGCCGCAGAAACCAGGCCGCUGCAACUGUUUAUUAAAAACAUAGCACUCUGCAAACACGAAAGUGGACGUAUAGGGUGUGAUGCCUGCCCGGUGCUGGAAGGUUAAUUGAUGGGGUUAGCGUAAGCGAAGCUCUUGAUCGAAGCCCCAGUAAACGGCGGCCGUAACUAUAACGGUCCUAAGGUAGCGAAAUUCCUUGUCGGGUAAGUUCCGACCUGCACGAAUGGCAUAAUGAUGGCGGCGCUGUCUCCAGCAGAGGCUCAGUGAAAUCGAAAUCGCUGUGAAGAUGCAGUGUACCCGCGGCUAGACGGAAAGACCCCGUGAACCUUUACUGCAGCUUGACACUGAACUUUGACCUUACUUGUGUAGGAUAGGUGGGAGGCUUUGAAGCUGGAACGCUAGUUCCAGUGGAGCCGUCCUUGAAAUACCACCCUGGUAAUGUUGAGGUUCUAACUCUGUCCCGUGAUCCGGGACGAGGACCGUGUCUGGUGGGUAGUUUGACUGGGGCGGUCUCCUCCUAAAGAGUAACGGAGGAGUACGAAGGUGCGCUCAGCGUGGUCGGAAAUCACGCGUAGAGUAUAAAGGCAAAAGCGCGCUUAACUGCGAGACCCACAAGUCGAGCAGGUACGAAAGUAGGUCUUAGUGAUCCGGUGGUUCUGUAUGGAAGGGCCAUCGCUCAACGGAUAAAAGGUACUCUGGGGAUAACAGGCUGAUACCGCCCAAGAGUUCAUAUCGACGGCGGUGUUUGGCACCUCGAUGUCGGCUCAUCUCAUCCUGGGGCUGAAGCAGGUCCCAAGGGUAUGGCUGUUCGCCAUUUAAAGAGGUACGCGAGCUGGGUUUAGAACGUCGUGAGACAGUUCGGUCCCUAUCUACCGUGGGCGCUGGAAAUUUGAGAGGAUCUGCUCCUAGUACGAGAGGACCAGAGUGGACGAACCUCUGGUGUACCGGUUGUGACGCCAGUCGCAUCGCCGGGUAGCUAUGUUCGGAAGGGAUAACCGCUGAAAGCAUCUAAGCGGGAAGCCUACCUCAAGAUAAGAUUUCCCUAGGACUUUAUGUCCUCUAAAGAGCCGUUCGAGACUAGGACGUUGAUAGGUUGGAUGUGGAAGCAUAGUGAUAUGUGAAGCUGACCAAUACUAAUUGCUCGUGAGGCUUGACUAUACAACACCCAAGCAGUUG